UACGGGGGGAGCAAGCGUUGUUCGGAUUUACUGGGCGUAAAGGGCGCGUAGGCGGCCAGCGCAAGUCAGUUGUGAAAUCUCCGGGCUUAACUCGGAAAGGUCAACUGAUACUGCGCGGCUAGAGUGCGGAAGGGGCAACUGGAAUUCUCGGUGUAGCGGUGAAAUGCGUAGAUAUCGAGAGGAACACCUGCGGCGAAGGCGGGUUGCUGGGCUGACACUGACGCUGAGGCGCGAAAGCUAGGGGAGCGAACGGG
rnacentral:rRNA from 1 species